UGCAUGUCUAAGUACAAACCGAUCUAACGGUGAAACCGCGAAUGGCUCAUUAAAUCAGUCGUAAUCUACAGGAUAUCGAUCCCACCUCGUUGGAUAACUGUGGUAAUUCUAGAGCUAAUACAUGCAACUAAGCUCCGGUCCUCGCUUCGGCGAGGGAAGGGCGCAUUUAUUAGACCCAAAAACCGAUCGAAAGCUCGACGCAAGUCGAGCGGUUACGGGGACUCCGAAUAACUUUGCCGAGCGCUUUGGUCUCACGACCGGCGCCGUAUCCUUCGAGCGUCUGCCUUAUCAGCUUUAUCGUAAGGUAUUGGCUUACGACGGCUGUAACGGGUAACGGGGAAUCAGGGUUCGAUUCCGGAGAGGGAGCCUGAGAAACGGCUACCACAUCUAAGGAAGGCAGCAGGCGCGCAAAUUACCCAAUCCCGGCWCGGGGAGGUAGUGACGAAAAAUACCGRUGCGGGUCUCMGACGAGGCCWCGCCAUCGGAUUGAGUUUAAACUAAAACCUUGGACGAGCGUCCAUUGGAGGGCAAGUCUGGUGCCAGCAGCCGCGGUAAUUCCAGCUCCGAUAGCGUAUAUUAAAGUUGCUGCGGUUAAAAAGCUCGUAGCUGGAUUUCGCGUCCGGAUUGGCUGGCCCGACGGGAGCUUAAGAUCAACCGGUGGAUGUCGGCGUGCGGUGCCCCCGAGGCGUCCUCGUCGUCGUCGUCGGAGCGUCUUUCGACUCCCGAGCGGACAACCUAGUCAAACCCUGGUCGACGAAAUCCGUCGGUUCGCGAGGAGCAAUCUCCUAGCGUCCGGCAUUUUCACUUUGAAUAAAUAAGAGUGCUCAAAGCGGGCGCAAGUUUAACGCCAAAACGAAAGUGCAUUGAACGAAUAAAUAAGACCUCGACCCCGCCGUUUUUUGAUCGGUUUAAGGGGGCCGAGGUAACGAUUAAGAGAAAUGGCCGGAGGCAUACGUAUUGCGACGCUAGAGGUGAAAUUCGUUGACCGUCGCAAGACGAACCGAGGCGAAGGCGUUUGUCGAGAACGUUUUCAUUAGUCAAGAACGAAAGUCAGAGGAUCGAAGGCGAUCAGAUACCGCCCUAGUUCUGACCGUAAACUUUGCUACCUGACGAUCCGUCGUUGUCAAUAUGCUCGACGGGAAGCCACCGGGAAACCUAAGGUUUCGAGCUCCGGGGGAAGUAUGGUUGCAAAAGUGAAACUUAAAGGAAUUGACGGAAGGGCACCACCAGGAGUGGAGCCUGCGGCUUAAUUCGACUCAACACGGGGAAACUUACCAGGACCGGACGCUGAAAGGAUUGACAGAUUGAGAGCUUUUUCUCGAUUUAGUGGGAGGUGGUGCAUGGCCGUUUCAAGUUGGUGGUGCGAAUUGUCUGGUUAAUUCCGAUAACGAGCGAGACUCUGCCUUGCUAAUUAGACGUCGGAUCGGCUCCGAAAGUCGAAGGCGGGCGUCGGAAACGGCGUCGUUCUUUCCGCUCGGUAUCUUGUCGCGUCGCGGCCGGACUCGUUUCGGUUCGAGGCGUGGCGAGCGGGUCGGAGAGGCGGCGUUUAGAUCGGCUCGUCUCUCGUCUAGGAGCGUUCGUCGCAAAAAAUCUCUUCUUAGAGGAAUCGGCGGCGAUUAGCCGUACGAAAUUGAGCCAAAACAGGUCUGUGAUGCCCUUAGAUGUUCUGGGCCGCACGCGCGCUACAAUGGUAGGUUCAACGAGCUUCGACCUCCUCCGAGAGGAGUGGGCAAUCACCGCAAGGCCAUUAGACUUCGGUAGGGAUUGGGGUUUGGAAAUAUCCCCCACGAACGAGGAAUUCCCAGUAGUCGCGAGUCCUCAGCUCGCGUCGAUUGAGUUUCUGCCCUUUGUACACACCGCCCGUCGCUACUACCGAUUGAGUGAUCGAGUGAGGACCUCGGACUGGCGCCCAGGGACCGUCGACCUUUCGCUUCKGCGACUGGAAGAAGCCCAGGGCUGACGGAAUGACGUCCCAGCUCGGACAUUUAGAGGAA
rnacentral:rRNA from 1 species